GAUGAAGAACGUAGCGAAAUGCGAUAAGUAAUGUGAAUUGCAGAAUUCAGUGAAUCAUCGAAUCUUUGAACGCACAUUGCGCCCACCAGCAUUCUGGCGGGCAUGCCUGUUCGAGCGUCAUUUCAACCCUCGAGCCCCCCCGGGGGCCUCGGUGUUGGGGGACGGCACACCAGCCGCCCCCGAAAUGCAGUGGCGACCCCGCCGCAGCCUCCCCUGCGUAGUAGCACACACCUCGCACCGGAGCGCGGAGGCGGUCACGCCGUAAAACGCCCAACUUUCUUAGAGUUGACCUCGGAUCAGGUAGGAAUACCCGCUGAACUUAAGCAUAUCAUAAGCGGAGGA
rnacentral:misc_RNA from 1 species